rnacentral:lncRNA from 1 species
UGGGCAGUGCGAGUAAACUAUGUAGUUCAUGAGGAAACAAAGCUAGAUUCGCCACGCAGCCGAUGAACAAUAGGAUAGAGACAGGGAUAUGGGCAGAACGGCGCAUUUUCGUGGGGCAUGGGGACAAUUCGUUUGGAGCUGAAAAAUCCAACCCCGGAAUUCAUUCCGACUCAAUCAAAUCGGCUGAUUGGAUCUAAAAGCGUCUACAUAGCUAAUCUUGGCCAAAGAAGAGACAACUAGACAAUGACCGAUCACGAAAAGCAGGACUAAACUCAAAUCAUCAGGGCUAACUUGUACCUUUUCCGGCCUAUGGCAAAGCGGUGAGCAAACAGUGCAUUCAGUUCAAUGCAUUGUACAUCUAUGGAAAACCUAGUCCUUGUCCCAAUAGUGGCGUAAUUGUGCCAGGGCGACUAGUCCAAACCGAACAUUCUGACGUCACUUUCCAGUCAACCACACGCUCAUCCAGAUCAGGUCCUAGACCCAUUUGAAAUGCCGGAAACUUGGUGAGGAAUUUACAUGAACUUUAUGCAAAAAAUUACUGCCCACCGGCUGCAGGGUUUAGUGACACAAGUCACAAGACCCCUUCCCUUCCCUGAAGAGAUCCAAAUGUUGCAAGGGGGGAUCGAUCACGGGCUGCAUGAUGUACAGGCUCCUAAACUUGAUGGAGCAUAUGCGCGCACAGUCGAGUCGUGCACUCGCGCUGUUGAGCCGUGGAAGUUACCAAAUGCCGACAAGUGCAGGGAGCCACCACCGCACCGGCACCACGUCGCCGUCACGGCACCACACCACACACCCCCAGCCCCGAUCAACUGCCCCCCGGCCUGGCCGAUCCACAACUGCUUAUAAACCCUUCGUCUUCCUCCUCCCACCUUCACCACCGCACCCUCGCCUCGCCUCCUUUCCGCCGGAGCGAGCGAGCGAGCGAUGGACCUCGACGACGACAUGAUGCCCUACUCCCCGUCCGGCGACUCCUCGCCGUCCUCCUCCGACCUGGACACCGAGGUUUUUCGUCGAAUUUCCUGGCUGGGUGCGGUCAGUUGCAGUUGCGCCGUUUUCUAUCUUGCGUGCGCUGACGAUGUUGUUAGUUUUGAUCUGUUGGCAGUCGACGGGGUCCUUCUUCCCGGACAGGAGCACGACGCUGGGGACGCUGAUGGGCGUGUCGGCGUUCGGGGGCGGCGCUGCGCAGCGGCGGAUGGCUCGCGCGCCGCCGGGGCAGGAGAGCGAGAGGCCGACGCGGGCGGCAACGGAGGAGCGAGACGGGCGGCGGGCGGGCGGGUGGCGACGGAGGAGGCGGCGGCGGAGGAGGAUUCUCCGGAGGAGGAGGUGGUGGCAGCACAUCCUCACGCCCUGGGUUCUGACGAGUUAGUGGAGCCANCGGCGGCGGCGGCGGCCCGCAGGAGCCGGAGGCGCCCACGGUGGUGGCGACGCCGCUGUUCGAGGACGGGAGGGUGCGCCCGCCGCAGCAGCGCGCCGCCCCGCCGGAGGAGCGCGGGAGGUGGCGGCUG